rnacentral:rRNA from 1 species
UACGUAGGGUGCAGGCGUUGUUCGGAAUUAUUGGGCGUAAAGAGCUCGUAGGCGGUUUGUCGCGUCUGCUGUGAAAACUCAGGGCUUAACCCUGAGCCUGCAGUGGGUACGGGCAGACUAGAGUGUGGUAGGGGAGAUCGGAAUUCCUGGUGUAGCGGUGGAAUGCGCAGAUAUCAGGAGGAACACCGGUGGCGAAGGCGGAUCUCUGGGCCAUAACUGACGCUGAGGCACGAAGGUCAGGGGAGCAAACGGG